rnacentral:sRNA from 1 species
AAAUCGAGUUGGCCAGAUGAGGGAGAGGCCAUUAAGAGGAAUCAAAGAUCAACUCCCACUGAGGACAAAUGGACCUGUAAUUCCGGGUGUGACGAGAGAACGAGAUUUACCUUCCUGAAUUAAAAAACAGGUCAUUAAGCUUGGGCCCUGACUCUUCUUUGUGAGAAGGUGCAGAGAUGGAAACCUUACAAUCCAAGACUAAAACGAGGGUCCUUCCCUCAUGGCUGACAGCCCAGGUGGCUACAAAGAAUGUGGCACCAAUGAAGGCCCCCAAGAGGAUGAGAAUGGCAGCAGUGCCAGUGGCAGCAGCAAGGUGCGACAACCCUGGUCAGAAGACUGUUGCGAAUUGACUCCCUGCGACAAGGACUGUGUACUGCAUGAAUGAGGCCGAGAUAGUCGAUGUUGCUCUGGGAAUCCUGAUUGAGAGCCGCAAACAGGAAAAGGCCUGCGAGCAGCUGGCCCUGGUGGGGGCUGAUAACCCAGAGCACUCCCCUCCCUGCUCUGUGUCGCCUCACACAAGUUCUGGGAGCAGCAGUGAGGAAGAGGACAGUGGGAAAGAGGCACUGGCUCCAGGCCUCAGCCCUUCCCAGAGGCCGGGGGGUAUCAACUCUGCCUGCAGCAGGAGCCCUGAGGAGGAGGAGGAAGAGGAUGUGUUGAAAUACGUCCGGGAGAUCUUUUUCAGCUAGGGCAUAAACUGUGCACUGAACUGUCUGCCGAGAGCA